rnacentral:misc_RNA from 1 species
GAUGAAGAACGCAGCGAAAUGCGAUAAGUAAUGUGAAUUGCAGAAUUCCGUGAAUCAUCGAAUCUUUGAACGCACAUUGCGCCCCCUGGCAUUCCGGGGGGCAUGCCUGUCCGAGCGUCAUUUCUGCCCUCAAGCACGGCUUGUGUGUUGGGUGCGGUCCCCCCGGGGACCCGCCCGAAAGGCAGCGGCGACGUCCGUCUGGUCCUCGAGCGUAUGGGGCUUUGUCACUCGCUCGGGAAGGACCUGCGGGGGUUGGUCACCACCAUAUUUUUACCACGGUUGACCUCGGAUCAGGUAGGAGUUACCCGCUGAACUUAAGCAUAUCAAUAAGCGGAGGA